CCUACGGUAGGCAGCAGUGAGGAAUAUUGGUCAAUGGACGAGAGUCUGAACCAGCCAAGUAGCGUGAAGGAUGACUGCCCUAUGGGUUGUCAACUUCUUUUAUCAAGGAAUAAAACGAGGCACGUGUGCCUUUUUGCAUGUACUUUAUGAAUAAGGAUCGGCUAACUCCGUGCCAGCAGCCGCGGUAAUACGGAGGAUCCGAGCGUUAUCCGGAUUUAUUGGAGUUAAAUGGAGCGUAGAUGGGUUGUUACGUCCGUUGUGAAAGUUUGCGGCUCAACCGGAAAAUUGCAAUUGAUACUGGCAGUCUUGAGGACAGUGGAGGUAGGCGGAAUGCGUGGUGUAGCGGUGAAAUG
rnacentral:rRNA from 1 species